rnacentral:rRNA from 2 species
UGGGCGUAAGCGCGCGCAGGCGGUUUCUUAAGUCUGAUGUGAAAGCCCACGGCUCAACCGUGGAGGGUCAUUGGAAACUGGGGAACUUGAGUGCAGAAGAGAAAAGCGGAAUUCCACGUGUAGCGGUGAAAUGCGUAGAGAUGUGGAGGAACACCAGUGGCGAAGGCGGCUUUUUGGUCUGUAACUGACGCUGAGGCGCGAAAGCGUGGGGAGCAAACAGGAUUAGAUACCCUGGUAGUCCACGCCGUAAACGAUGAGUGCUAAGUGUUAGAGGGUUUCCGCCCUUUAGGGCUGCGGCUAACGCAUUAGGCACUCGGCCUGGGGAGUCCGG